GCUUAAGCCUCUCUGCCUUCGUUGUUAAGGAAGCAGAGGAGGCAGCUCGUGGGUGAUCAGGGAAAGAAAGAAAGAAAGAAGAAGAAGAAGAAGAAGAAGAAGAAGAGAAAGAAAAUUGGGGCUUUUAGGGUUCUUGCUUUAAUCUUGUCAUUUCGGGUCAAGAUUUGCAAAGGAUAGCGUAUCGCUUGCUUAAAUGUUAAGAAUGGGCUGAGGCAGUGGAAAGUUUAGAAGACGUUGGGCAGAACUUUUGUUAGCAUAUAUGUAGUUGUGUAUAAGCUACCUUGCAUCUAAUGAAAUGUGACUAUGAAUCUAAACCUGUGGAUUUUGUGUAAGUUAAAGGAUCCCUCAUGUAUAGGGUUUUGGAAUGUUAAAUUAAAUUUGUGUAAUGAUAUGAACUUAUGGUAAAUCGAUGAUUGUGGUGACUGCAUAGAUUUCCCCACUUGUGGACUUA